GACGGACCGUCCAAGCGUUAUUCGGUAUCACUGGGCUUAAAGCGUGCGUAGGCGGUUCUAAAGGUGGGGUGUGAAAACCCACGGCUCAACCGUGGAAUUGCGGUCCAAACUGUCGGGCUGGAGGAAGGCAGGGGUGAGCGGAACUUAUGGCGGAGCGGUGAAAUGCGUUGAUAUCAUCAGGAACACCAGUGGCGAAAGCGGCUCACUGGACCUUUUCUGACGCUGAGGCACGAAAGCUAGGGGAGCAAACGGG
rnacentral:rRNA from 1 species